rnacentral:rRNA from 1 species
UACUUAGAACACCAAUUGCGAAGGCAGGUCACUAAGUCUUAACUGACGCUGAUGGACGAAAGCGUGGGGAGCGAACAGGAUUAGAUACCCUGGUAGUCCACGCCGUAAACGAUGAUUACUCGUUUUUGGGUUUUAUGAUUCAGAGACUAAGCGAAAGUGAUAAGUAAUCCACCUGGGGAGUACGUUCGCGAGAAUGAAACUCAAAGGAAUUGACGGGGGCCCGCACAAGCGGCGGAGCAUGUGGUUUAAUUCGAUGAUACGCGAGGAACCUUACCAAGACUUAAAUGGGAAAUGACAGAUUUAGAAAUAGAUCCUUCUUCGGACAUUUUUCAAGGUGCUGCAUGGUUGUCGUCAGCUCGUGCCGUGAGGUGUUAGGUUAAGUCCUGCAACGAGCGCAACCCCUGUCACUAGUUGCUAACAUUAAGUUGAGGACUCUAGUGAGACUGCCUACGCAAGUAGAGAGGAAGGUGGGGAUGACGUCAAAUCAUCACGGCCCUUACGUCUUGGGCCACACGCGUGCUACAAUGGCCGGUACAGAGGGCAGCUACCUAGCGAUAGGAUGCAAAUCUCGAAAGCCGGUCUCAGUUCGGAUUGGAGUCUGCAACUCGACUCUAUGAAGCUGGAAUCGCUAGUAAUCGCGCAUCAGCCAUGGCGCGGUGAAUACGUUCCCGGGCCUUGUACACACCGCCCGUCAAGCCAUGGAAGCUGGGGGUACCUGAAGUCGGUGACCGUAAAAGGAGCUGCCUAGGG